rnacentral:rRNA from 1 species
GACGAACGCUGGCGGCGUGCUUAACACAUGCAAGUCGAACGGAAAGGCCCUGCUUUGGUGGGGUGCUCGAGUGGCGAACGGGUGAGUAACACGUGAGUAACCUGCCCUUGACUUUGGGAUAACUUCAGGAAACUUGGGCUAAUACCGGAUAGGAGCUCCUGCUGCAUGGUGGGGGUUGGAAAGUUUCGGCGGUUGGGGAUGGACUCGCGGCUUAUCAGCUUGUUGGUGGGGUAGUGGCUUACCAAGGCUUUGACGGGUAGCCGGCCUGAGCGGGUGACCGGCCCCAUUGGGCCUGAGAUACGGCCCAGCCUCCUACGGGAGGCAGAAGUGGGGAAUAUUGCACAAUGGGCGGAAGCCUGAUGCAGCACAGCCGCGUGCGGGAUGACGGCCUUCGGGUUGUAAACCGCUUUCGCCUGUGACGAAGCGUGAGUGACGGUAAUGGGUAAAGAAGCACCGGCUAACUACGUG